rnacentral:lncRNA from 1 species
UCCAGGUGUUUCUGAUGCCUGUUCAAGUUUGAGAAUCAAUGGACUAAAGUCUUCAUGAACCACAAACAGCAUUGGAAGAUCAAAUCUUCCAUGUCGCACUAUUGCUUCUGACAAUGUAUCAAACCACAUCACUUUUUCAGCUUUGGAUCUUACCCUCUGCAGAAGUUCAUUAUGUAAUAGAUUUCAUGUUAAGAAAACAGGGUUUUCUGCAGUUCUGAACAUUCACAGAAACUCGGAUUCAGCACCAGAAUCUUAGGAGGCAUUUUGGUGUCUGAUGCAAUUUAGAACUUAAAUGGAGACUCAAUCUGAUGUCUGACCUGAAUUGUUUAACUAUAAAAUAAGUUCCUAUUAGGAAAGUCACAUCCAACAAUAGGAAACAUACUGUGAGAGAAGACUGGGGAAAAAUUAAAUGACUUCCCAAAGCCUAAACGUCUGAAA